rnacentral:rRNA from 1 species
GAUGAACGCUGACCGAAUGCUUAACACAUCAGCAAUUGAUUGGUGGCGGACGGGUGAGUAACGCGUAAAGAACUUUCCUCACAGGUAGGGACAACAUUUGGAAACGAAUGCUAAUACCUAAUACUGUGAGAGAGCGUUGCGUCCCAUUAGCUAGUUGGAGAGGUAACGGCUCACCAAGGCGAGGAUGGGUAGCCGGCCUGAGAGGGUGAUCGGACACAAGGUGACUGAGACACGGCCCUUACUCAGACGGGAGGCAGCAGUGGGGAACAUUGGACAAUGGACCAAAGUCUGAUCCAGGAAUUCUGGGUGCACGAUGAAGUUGUAGGAAUGUAAAGUGUUUUCAGUUGGGAAUCGGUACCAACAGAAGAAGUGAAGGCUAAAUACGUGCCAGCAGCCGCGGUAAUUC